rnacentral:rRNA from 1 species
GAUCGCAAGGGUGAAAUACAAGACAUUAGACGGUUGUAGUCACGAGUAGUGGAACAUGUCGUUUAAUUGGAUAUAUUAGCGUAGUAAUUU